GAAGUAAGAUGUGAUUUGAUGACUGACAUAUUCAUCACCUGAUCACUUGUUUAAUACCUAGGCUUAUCUUCCUCCUCCUUCACAUGAGAAGUUGCCUAAUAGUUAUUCUGAG
rnacentral:lncRNA from 12 species